GCCGGGCGUGGUGGCGCACGCCUGUAAUUCCAGCAACUCACGAGGCUGAGACUGGAGGAUCGCGAGUUCAAAGCCACUUCAGCAGAAAUAAGCGAGGUGCUAAAGCAGCUCAGUGAGACCCUGUCUCAA
rnacentral:SRP_RNA from 1 species